ACCCCGAAUUGCUCUGCAAUGGGAUGGGAUCCGAAGCCCUCCGAGGGGUAAUACAGGCUCUCCCAUCCAACUACUAUCCCGACACGUCCUCGUCGUGCAGAGUGGUAACAUGUGCCUCCAUAUAUCCUAGCUUUUGUACACGGGCUAGAUCCAACCUCUUGGGCGGAUGGUGGCAUGUGGCGAACCAGGAGGGG
rfam:Anopheles gambiae str. PEST whole genome shotgun sequencing project, whole genome shotgun sequence.